AGGGCACCACCAGGAGUGGAGCCUGCGGCUUAAUUUGACUCAACACGGGGAAACUUACCCGGCCUGGACACUGGAAGGAUUGACAGAUUGAGAGCUCUUUCUUGAUUCGGUGGGUGGUGGUGCAUGGCCGUUCUUAGUUGGUGGAGCGAUUUGUCUGGUUAAUUCCGAUAACGAACGAGACUCUAGCCUAUUAAAUAGGCUCUCGGCUUUUAAACGCCGGGAGGACUUCUUAGAGGGACAGGUGGCGGUUCAGCCGCACGAAAGAGAGCAAUAACAGGUCUGUGAUGCCCUUUGUUGUCCGGGGCCGCACGCGCGCUACACUGAAGAGAUCAGCGUGCUUUACGUUCCUGCUCCGACCGGAGUGGGGAACCCAGUGAACCUUCUUCGUGAUUGGGAUAGAAGAUUGUAAUUAUUCUUCUUGAACGAGGAAUUCCCAGUAAAUGCGAGUCAUAAGCUCGCGUUGAUUACGUCCCUGCCCUUUGUACACACCGCCCGUCGCUACUACCGAUUGAACGAUUU
rnacentral:rRNA from 1 species